UACAGAGGGUGCGAGCGUUAAUCGGAAUUACUGGGCGUAAAGCGCACGUAGUCGACUUUGCAAGUCGGGUGUGAAAUCCCCGGGCUCAACCUGGGAACUGCAUCCGAGACUGCAUUGCUAGAGUAUGGGAGAGGGAAGCGGAAUUUCUGGUGUAGCAGUGAAAUGCGUAGAUAUCAGAAGGAACAUCAGUGGCGAAGGCGGCUUCCUGGACUCAUACUGACACUGAGGUGCGAAAGCGUGGGGAGCAAACAGG
rnacentral:rRNA from 1 species